rnacentral:snoRNA from 1 species
GCGCAGCCGAUUAAGCCAGCUGUGCUCUCUGCACUGGGGACCCUGGUACAAGGGCUGCAAACAGCAAGUGGCCUGUGGCUCGUAUGGGCUGUUCUAAAGGACCUUGGGGACAGUC